rnacentral:rRNA from 1 species
GAUGAACGCCUAGCGGCAGGCUUAACACAUGCAAGUCGAGGGGCAGCAUAAUGGUAGCAAUACUAUUGAUGGCGACCGGCGGACGGGUGCGUAACGCGUAUGCAACCUACCCUUUACAGGGGGAUAACACUGAGAAAUCGGUACUAAUACCCCAUAAUAUUCUGGGAGGCAUCUUUCGGAGUUGAAAGCUUUGGUGGUAAAGGAUGGGCAUGCGUUGUAUUAGCUAGUUGGUAAGGUAACGGCUUACCAAGGCGACGAUACAUAGGGGGACUGAGAGGUUAACCCCCCACAUUGGUACUGAGACACGGACCAAACUCCUACGGGAGGCAGCAGUGAGGAAUAUUGGUCAAUGGACGGAAGUCUGAACCAGCCAUGCCGCGUGCAGGAAGACGGCUCUAUGAGUUGUAAACUGCUUUUGUACGAGGGUAAACGCAGAUACGCGUAUCUGCCUGAAAGUAUCGUACGAAUAAGGAUCGGCUAACUCCGUGCCAGCAGCCGCGGUAAUACGGAGGAUCCAAGCGUUAUCCGGAUUUAUUGGGUUUAAAGGGUGCGUAGGCGGUUUAGUAAGUCAGCGGUGAAAUUUUGGUGCUUAACACCAAACGUGCCGUUGAUACUGCUGGGCUAGAGAGUAGUUGCGGUAGGCGGAAUGUAUGGUGUAGCGGUGAAAUGCUUAGAGAUCAUACAGAACACCGAUUGCGAAGGCAGCUUACCAAACUAUAUCUGACGUUGAGGCACGAAAGCGUGGGGAGCAAACAGGAUUAGAUACCCUGGUAGUCCACGCAGUAAACGAUGAUAGCUCGUUGUCGGCGAUACACAGUCGGUGACUAAGAGAAAUCGAUAAGCUAUCCACCUGGGGAGUACGUUCGCAAGAAUGAAACUCAAAGGAAUUGACGGGGGCCCGCACAAGCGGAGGAACAUGUGGUUUAAUUCGAUGAUACGCGAGGAACCUUACCCGGGCUUGAAAGUUACUGACGAUUCUGGAAACAGGAUUUCCCUUCGGGGCAGGAAACUAGGUGCUGCAUGGUUGUCGUCAGCUCGUGCCGUGAGGUGUCGGGUUAAGUCCCAUAACGAGCGCAACCCCUACUGAUAGUUGCCAUCAGA